rnacentral:rRNA from 1 species
AGCAUAUCAAUAAGCGGAGGAAAAGAAACUAACAAGGAUUCCCCUAGUAACUGCGAGUGAAGCGGGAAAAGCUCAAAUUUAAAAUCUGGCGGUCUUUGGUCGUCCGAGUUGUAAUCUAGAGAAGUGUUUUCCGUGCUGGACCGUGUACAAGUUUCUUGGAACAGAACAUCAUAGAGGGUGAGAAUCCCGUCUUUGACAUGGACUACCAGUGCUCUGUGAUGCGCUCUCAAAGAGUCGCGUUGUUUGGGAAUGCAGCGCAAAAUGGGUGGUAAAUUCCAUCUAAAGCUAAAUAUUGGCGAGAGACCGAUAGCGAACAAGUACCGUGAGGGAAAGAUGAAAAGCACUUUGGAAAGAGAGUUAAACAGUACGUGAAAUUGUUGAAAGGGAAACGCUUGAAGUCAGUCGCGUCUCGCAGAACUCAGCCUUGCUUUUGCUUGGUGCAUUUUCUGUUUGACGGGCCAGCAUCGAUUUUGACCGUUGGAUAAAGUUCAGAGGAAUGUGGCACCUUCGGGUGUGUUAUAGCCUUUGUUCGCAUACAACGGCUGGGAUCGAGGACCGCAGCACGCCUUUUGGCCGGGGUUCGCCCACGUAUGUGCUUAGGAUGCUGGCGUAAUGGCUUUAAGCGACCCGUCUUGAAACACGGACCAAGGAGUCUAACAUGCCCGCGAGUGUUUGGGUGGAAAACCCAUGCGCGUAAUGAAAGUAAUAGUUGAGACCCCUGUCGUGGGGGGCAUCGACGCCCGGUCUUGAGCUUUGGCGACAGAUCUGCGGUAGAGCGUGUAUGUUGGGACCCGAAAGAUGGUGAACUAUGCCUGAAUAGGGUGAAGCCAGAGGAAACUCUGGUGGAGGNUCGUNGCGAUUCNNACGUGCAAAUCGAUCGUCAAAUUNGGGUAUAGGGGCGAAAGACUAAUCGAACCAUCUAGUAGCUGGNUNCUGNCGAAGUUUCCCUCNAGGAUACAAGUACCGUGAGGGAAAGAUGAAAAGCACUUUGGAAAGAGAGUUAAACAGUACGUGAAAUUGUUGAAAGGGAAACGCUUGAAGUCAGUCGCGUCUCGCAGAACUCAGCCUUGCUUUUGCUUGGUGCAUUUUCUGUUUGACGGGCCAGCAUCGAUUUUGACCGUUGGAUAAAGUUCAGAGGAAUGUGGCACCUUCGGGUGUGUUAUAGCCUUUGUUCGCAUACAACGGCUGGGAUCGAGGACCGCAGCACGCCUUUUGGCCGGGGUUCGCCCACGUAUGUGCUUAGGAUGCUG